CAAAAAAUAUUUUUAAAAAGCAGCUGAGUGAUGUCUGUUGUAUGAACUGGUCGUUAGAGUCGGGAGCCUCUCUACUGGGAGAGGCCCUGCAGGCGUUGCUGCAGACAAGGCGUGCCCCGCCCUCGGCCAGGCCUCUGCAGGGGAUGAGUGGGAGAUGCAGCUCACGCUGGCCACCCGAGCCAACCUUCUACCUCAGGCCAAAUAGGAAUCUUGGGACCAGUUUGCUCAGCCAAGCCUAGUGGGUAGCAUGGGCAAGAGGAUGAGAUGAACAGGAAGCAGAUGCUAAAGCGCUGGGCCCUUCAAGGAUGGCAAUUUUGAGGGUGUGGUGAACCUGCCCACCAGUGAUGGGUCCUAGGGAGCGCUUGGCCUGGCCAAUGAGAUCCUCUGCAUGGGAACGUCAGGGCCGCUGGGCGCUGGGUGGAACGAGGUGGCUUCCCCACACACGUGCUCAGCCUGUCUCACCUGAGGCCUGGGGCCACUGCAGGUCUCCGAGCGCAUCGUCGUCUGCUCUGCGCUCUCCUCGCUGAACUCCGAGCUGCCGUGUGCGGGGAGACCCCUGGACUCUGCGGGCGCCCCCUGCACCGCGGCCCAAUGCCGCCGUCUCCUGGCCUUUGCCAGGAAAGCCGCUGUCUCAAGAGUAUCAAGGAGCGGAGGCUUCCCAGACCUCAACUCCUUGAUUCCCGACGCUCGAACCCGCCUCAAACAAGAAGACGAGACAACGGCAAAGGACGCCCACCUGCCAUCCUCCUAUCUCACCCUCCCCCCGCCUUGCUGCAAGCAGCCUCUCAAGGCCAAAUGCAGGCUGGUGGGAAAGCACAGAGCUGCACAAGCUACAUGUUCCCCCCUCCCCUACCCAAAACCCCAAAUAAAAAUCCCUGUCCAUUCCUCAUCGGGGAGCUAACAAUUUUUGAGGCAUGAGCCCUUGCUUUGCUCCCUGUGCCUGGCAUAGUAAAAACCUUUCCUCUUCCACUCAAGACUCUGUUCUCGUUAUUUGGAUUGGCGUCGGGUUCAGAGACCGAACUUUCCGUUACAGUUACUGCACAUAUUUUGUCCUGUGUUUUGGCUGUUUCAGGUAUGGGUGGGCGGGGGUAGAAAUCUGAGCCCUGUUGCUCUGACUUGCCCAGAGGUGUUAAACGUGCUUCUCUCUGGUUCCCAGUGAGUGCGAGCAUCUCCGUGAUUUGCUAACCUGAAGCUUCCCAUUGUGUGAACUGCCUGCCCUUCUUCCUAUGAUGUUUUGGGUCCUUUUUCUUAUUUAUUUGUAGGAGUUCUU
rnacentral:lncRNA from 1 species